AUUGACCGCUAAUGGUGGUAUCUGCUGUGUUUGAGAUUUGACUUGCUGAAUGAGCCAAGCAUAGUACCUGAAAUAAAUCUAACUCAGUCAGGUGAUACUGGCUUUAUAAAACUAUUUGGCAUCCACAGCUCAUGAGAAUUAUUCACAAAUAUCCCCUCUUGCCCCUGGGUUUUGUGAUUGGGACCUGAGUGUACUGGAUCUGACAUGUGGGCCCAUCCUCUGGGUCCUGGAGAUCAAUCCCU